UACGUAGGGGGCAAGCGUUGUCCGGAUUUAUUGGGCGUAAAGAGCGUGUAGGCGGCCAGGUAGGUCUGCUGUGAAACUCGAGGCUCAACCUCGAGAUGUCGGCGGAAACCAUCUGGCUAGAGUCCGGAAGAGGAGAAUGGAAUUCCCGGUGUAGCGGUGAAAUGCGCAGAUAUCGGGAAGAACACCCGUGGCGAAGGCGGUUCUCUGGGACGGUACUGACGCUGAGACGCGAAAGCGUGGGGAGCGAACAGG
rnacentral:rRNA from 1 species